rnacentral:tRNA from 1 species
GGGGCUGUGGUUCAGUGAUAGAACAGUUGCUUGGCACCCAGAAGGUCCCGGGUUUGAUGCCCGGCAUCUCCA